GGGCUCACUUCAGCACAGGUGCUAAAAUUAGAGUGACAUAGAGGUGGUGUGACCUCUGCAUAAGGAUGACAUGCAAAUUCAUGAAGUGUUCAAUAUGUUC
rnacentral:snRNA from 1 species